UCGUGCCGAGACGGGUGUUCUGCGUCCAUCUUUGGCACGUCCAUACGUUCUGCAAAGACGUCAUUUGUGGUUUUACCUGGAUUUUGUUCUGAAACGAGGAUAAAUAAAACAUUAACGUUAUGACCACAUACGGAAUGUCUUGCGAAGGAACACGAACUUAAAUUUCCGGUCCACUUCGACCCACAAACUACCUACAGCAAAUGUAGAUGUUGCAGUCGCUGUCACCAACUCACCGCAACGACACUUGAGUGCAUCUCAGCCUGUACUUCACACGGUGCAGAGUCUAUCAUUACAGCCUCUGGUUUCACAUCAAGAGGCCCCAAUGACACAUUACUGCCAGCACCUUUCCCUGGGGGAGGAAGUGACUGCAGCCCUGAGUGAAUGGACAGGCUCUCAGAGCUGCUUUCUGUAGCAUAAGAGCAGGAGGGAACAUCAGCCUCUGUUUCUCCAGCCCCCUGUGUACAGAAAGUCCUCAGUUGACUAGUUCUCUCACACAAAGACUGUCCGAAAGUUGAUCGACAGACUACAAAAUGGAAGAAAAAGGGGAAAUAUCAGCCCAAAGCCCCCAAAUUGCACAAGAGUGCAUCUCAGCCUGUACUUCACACGGUGCAGAGUCUAUCAUUACAGCCUCUGGUUUCACAUCAAGAGGCCCCAAUGACACAUUACUGCCAGCACCUUUCCCUGGGGGAGGAAGUGACUGCAGCCCUGAGUGAAUGGACAGGCUCUCAGAGCUGCUUUCUGUAGCAUAAGAGCAGGAGGCAACAUCAGCCUCUGUUUCUCCAGCCCCCUGUGAACAGAAAAUCCUCAGUUGACUAGUUCUCUCACACGUUAAGUACGCAGGACAGGAACUGUGGAGUCUUCCUGUGCUCUGCUCACAUCCUGUGUGCUGAAGGGUCUUGGCACUCUCUGGCUCUGUUUUAAGUGCAGAUUCCAGUCCACUGACUUCCCAAACACCGCGUCUGGUCCUGUGCUGUUCAGUGAGCUCCUCUGUGUGAUUCGCUGCUUUAUUCUGCGUUUCCUGAACGGGACGCUUUUCCCUGCUGCCUGCCCUCCACUCCACAGCUCCUGGAGGGAAUAUUAGAUACAAGUAUUUUAACUUUAAGGAAACAAUAUUAUUAUGAAAAUAUACUGAAUUGUAUUCUU